rnacentral:lncRNA from 1 species
UGGUAUGGUAAUGCUCUUCAGUGUCUUCUCCUUGUAUAUGGCUUCUUCAGAGUGAAGACAGUGGACAUAAGCAUGCAGGUGUGACCUAUAUGCAAAAUAAGUUAUUUGUAUCCCCUCCCACACCUUGCUCUCUAGACUCCAUGGCUAUGGUACUACUGCUGUUUCUAGGAAUCUGCCUUUAUCAGGAAGGAUUUUUAAUUUGUCAUUCCCUGAUUUUACCUAUGGACAAUUCCACCUCUUUAUAUAGAGUAUUAUAAGGCAUUAAUAGCAAAGAGUGUGUGCUUUGUCUCCCUUUUUUUUUUUUUCUACAGUGUUCUUGUCCUUCAAUCUUUGUUUUUCAGCUGUCCUAUUAUAUGUUGUCAGAGCCCAGGAGCCCACUUCGCUGCUUGACUUCUCAAGAAUUGCAGAAUAGGUCUGCGUAACAUGAACCUGUCUGUUUUUAAUGGGACCUGUCCAAGGUUUGUCCUUUUUAUUUUGAAGAGAGGAAGAAAAAAAAAAAAGAGACACAUACCAGCAGCCUUGGACUAUGGCAAAGCUGAUGCUGCUGCAGCUGGAAAGGCACGUCUGCCCCUAAUGAGUUUGUGUUUUGACUUUGGGGACAGCGAAUAG